UACGGAGGGAGCUAGCGUUGUUCGGAAUUACUGGGCGUAAAGCGCGCGUAGGCGGCUUUGUAAGUUAGAGGUGAAAGCCCGGGGCUCAACCCCGGAAUUGCCUUUAAGACUGCAUCGCUUGAAUCCGGGAGAGGUGAGUGGAAUUCCGAGUGUAGAGGUGAAAUUCGUAGAUAUUAGGAAGAACACCAGUGGCGAAGGCGGCUCACUGGCCCGGUACUGACGCUGAGGCGCGAAAGCGUGGGGAGCAAACAGG
rnacentral:rRNA from 1 species